rnacentral:rRNA from 1 species
GGGGGCGUCUAUACAUGCAGUCGAGCGGACAGAUGGGAGCUUGCUCCCUGAUGUUAGCGGCGGACGGGUGAGUAACACGUGGGUAACCUGCCUGUAAGACUGGGAUAACUCCGGGAAACCGGGGCUAAUACCGGAUGGUUGUUUGAACCGCAUGGUUCAGACAUAAAAGGUGGCUUCGGCUACCACUUACAGAUGGACCCGCGGCGCAUUAGCUAGUUGGUGAGGUAACGGCUCACCAAGGCGACGAUGCGUAGCCGACCUGAGAGGGUGAUCGGCCACACUGGGACUGAGACACGGCCCAGACUCCUACGGGAGGCAGCAGUAGGGAAUCUUCCGCAAUGGACGAAAGUCUGACGGAGCAACGCCGCGUGAGUGAUGAAGGUUUUCGGAUCGUAAAGCUCUGUUGUUAGGGAAGAACAAGUGCCGUUCAAAUAGGGCGGCACCUUGACGGUACCUAACCAGAAAGCCACGGCUAACUACGUGCCAGCAGCCGCGGUAAUACGUAGGUGGCAAGCGUUGUCCGGAAUUAUUGGGCGUAAAGGGCUCGCAGGCGGUUUCUUAAGUCUGAUGUGAAAGCCCCCGGCUCAACCGGGGAGGGUCAUUGGAAACUGGGGAACUUGAGUGCAGAAGAGGAGAGUGGAAUUCCACGUGUAGCGGUGAAAUGCGUAGAGAUGUGGAGGAACACCAGUGGCGAAGGCGACUCUCUGGUCUGUAACUGACGCUGAGGAGCGAAAGCGUGGGGAGCGAACAGGAUUAGAUACCCUGGUAGUCCACGCCGUAAACGAUGAGUGCUAAGUGUUAGGGGGUUUCCGCCCCUUAGUGCUGCAGCUAACGCAUUAAGCACUCCGCCUGGGGAGUACGGUCGCAAGACUGAAACUCAAAGGAAUUGACGGGGGCCCGCACAAGCGGUGGAGCAUGUGGUUUAAUUCGAAGCAACGCGAAGAACCUUACCAGGUCUUGACAUCCUCUGACAAUCCUAGAGAUAGGACGUCCCCUUCGGGGGCAGAGUGACAGUGGUGCAUGGGUUGUCGUCAGCUCGUGUCGUGAGAUGUUGGGUUAAGUCCCGCAACGAGCGCACCUUGAUCUAGGUUGCCAGCAUUCAGUUGGCACUCUAGUGACUGGCUGGUGACAACCGGAGGAAAGGUGGG